rnacentral:rRNA from 1 species
GGGGAAUAUUGCACAAUGGAGGAAACUCUGAUGCAGCGACGCCGCGUGAGUGAAGAAGUAAUUCGUUAUGCAAAGCUCUAUCAGCAGGGAAGAUAGUGACGGUACCUGACUAAGAAGCUCCGGCUAAAUACGUGCCAGCAGCCGCGGUAAUACGUAUGGAGCAAGCGUUAUCCGGAUUUACUGGGUGUAAAGGGAGUGUAGGUGGCCAUGCAAGUCAGAAGUGAAAAUCCGGGGCUCAACCCCGGAACUGCUUUUGAAACUGUAAGGCUAGAGUGCAGGAGGGGUGAGUGGAAUUCCUAGUGUAGCGGUGAAAUGCGUAGAUAUUAGGAGGAACACCAGUGGCGAAGGCGGCUCACUGGACUGUAACUGACACUGAGGCUCGAAAGCGUGGGGAGCAAAC